rnacentral:tRNA from 1 species
GGGGUGUUAGUAAAAUAAUUACCUACUCUUGUCAAGAUUAAAUCACAGUGAAAACCUGUACACCUCA